rnacentral:rRNA from 1 species
GAGUUUGAUCCUGGCUCAGAUUGAACGCUGGCGGCAUGCCUUACACAUGCAAGUCGAACGGCAGCACGGAGCCUGCUCUGGUGGCGAGUGGCGAACGGGUGAGUAAUAUAUCGGAACGUACCCUGGAGUGGGGGAUAACGUAGCGAAAGUUACGCUAAUACCGCAUACGAUCUAAGGAUGAAAGUGGGGGAUCGCAAGACCUCAUGCUCGUGGAGCGGCCGAUAUCUGAUUAGCUAGUUGGUAGGGUAAAAGCCUACCAAGGCAUCGAUCAGUAGCUGGUCUGAGAGGACGACCAGCCACACUGGAACUGAGACACGGUCCAGACUCCUACGGGAGGCAGCAGUGGGGAAUUUUGGACAAUGGGCGAAAGCCUGAUCCAGCAAUGCCGCGUGAGUGAAGAAGGCCUUCGGGUUGUAAAGCUCUUUUGUCAGGGAAGAAACGGUGAAGGCUAAUAUCCUUUGCUAAUGACGGUACCUGAAGAAUAAGCACCGGCUAACUACGUGCCAGCAGCCGCGGUAAUACGUAGGGUGCAAGCGUUAAUCGGAAUUACUGGGCGUAAAGCGUGCGCAGGCGGUUUUGUAAGUCUGAUGUGAAAUCCCCGGGCUCAACCUGGGAAUUGCAUUGGAGACUGCAAGGCUAGAAUCUGGCAGAGGGGGGUAGAAUUCCACGUGUAGCAGUGAAAUGCGUAGAUAUGUGGAGGAACACCGAUGGCGAAGGCAGCCCCCUGGGUCAAGAUUGACGCUCAUGCACGAAAGCGUGGGGAGCAAACAGGAUUAGAUACCCUGGUAGUCCACGCCCUAAACGAUGUCUACUAGUUGUCGGGUCU